GACAACCCUGUGAUCAUGGUUUUGGUCACAUAGCUUCCAAGUGAGUGUUGUGCAAACAUUUGCUAGGAUCUCUCGGGGAGCCUGUUAGAAAAGAAACUCCUGAGCCUGCUCCAGAGCUUCUGUUCAGCAGGCCUGAGGUGGGACCAUACACCUGUCUUUUCAGCAAGCCCCCCCCCACCUCUGAGGAUGCACCCCAAAGCUAGAGAAUUCCUGCUCUGAGCCAUCUCUGAAAGCACCAAGAGCCAGGGCCAGGGAAGCUGGGCUGGAGGAAGCUGUCUGGGAGCCCAGGAGGCAAGCAGAAAACCGCCAGGACCGCCCCACGCUGGGGGAGCAGCAGGCACGGCCCCUACCAACACCCCCUGGCACCUCGCAAAGCUAGAGCCCGCCCGGUCCCCUCCCCGGAGCGCCCUGGUCUUUGGUUCGUAUUCAGCACAUCUUCAGAAACAGUGAUAGAAAAAUGCUGGUUUCUGACUCCACCAGCUCACGGAGGAGAUGCCAGCUCACGGAGGAAAAUCUGGAAGGUGUUGAAGCAUAGACGCUGGAACAUAAAAUGACUCAUGAUCUCACUGGGAGAAGGGCUGGGAACAUCGUGGGCUCUCUUCUCCCCGCGCUCCUCUCUCCGGGUCUCUGUUUCCCUCAUUCCACGAUGUUUAGAACCAUCGGCGCACUACAUCAGACUAGAGGUCUGGGGUCACCCGACCAUCCCGCCACAAGCCCCUCCGAGGCAUCACUGUGUCCAGAUUUUGCAAACUGCACCUCCUGAAGGGGCUGGGGUCUGUCCACUUCGCCCCAUCUGCCGUGGCAGCACUUCCUCCGUGGUUCGCACCCCCACAGCAGCCUCCUGGGAAGGCACCUCCCUGGGGCCCCUCUCAGUCCACGGUGUGGAUAUGGUGAGUUCUUAAACCAUGAACUUCUGAUUUCACAGCUCUGCUUGAAGCCUUCAAUGUCAGGCUUCCUGUUGCUCUUAAGAUAAUGAUCAAAACUCUCAACAAAGUUCCCCUGAUAAAUGCUCUCAACGUGCCCCCCACCACAGCAUCCCUAACUGUAAUGAAUACAUCAUUGGUCCUCACGGCAGCGGAUUAAUCGUCUGUGAGUGUUGGUUUAAUCUUUCUCUUCUGGAGUUUAGCUGUCACUGCCAUAUCCCCAGCACGGAGCACAAUGACAUGUUUAUAUGUAGAAAAUUGAGCGAAAAAUAAAAACAGCUAACAUUUGGGUACUUAUUAUCUUCCAGGCAGCAAGCUAUGCAUUUUGCAUAUAUUAGCAAAUCCAUGAGGCAGGUGCUGUCUUCAUUGUACAGUUUCUCCUUCCUCUUUCUUUAGGUCAGGAAGAUUCCUGCAGCUGCUGAGUUAGUACUUUUAAGAAAGUACUGGAUUCCCUCUCACAAUGGGACUUUGAUUUUUUUAAGAAAAAGGUUUCAUAAGUUUUCAAAUAACCUGGAGCAGUUGAGCAAACUUAAUGUGCAGCGUGGUCCCUGCUGGCUGGGUUUGAGGGGCUGGGUCUCUCUGAGUGGAUGCUGGUGAGGUGCAGAGGAAGAAGAAAAGGUGCCUGAGGGCCUGUGUGGAAGGCCUGUCACACAGCACAUCCUGGGAAAUCUGUCCAGGAAGCAGCCAGGCGGGCAUCAGCCAGGCGGGCAUCAGCAUCUUCACUGUGCAGAUGAGAAACUGAGGCCGCAGAGGUGAAGGGACAUGCCCAGGAUCACUAAGGUGAUCCCUAGAAACACAGCCAGUGGCCCGGAAGCUGCACUGUUUUGUGCACCGCAGGGAUGGGCACAGAUGGGGCUGCCUGCCCUCCUCCUGGAAGGAGGGAGAACCCAGUCUGGCCUGGAGUGGUCAAGAGCUAACUCUAGACUCAGCAAGACCUACUUCUCUCUCCUGCCCCUACUUCCUUGCUGCUGACCUGGGCAAGUCGCUGAAGCCUCUCCGUGCCUCAGUCUGCUCGUGCGUAAGAUGGGCACAGGGCACACUGCCUACUUGAUUGGGCUCAACCACGUGCAGUAAGUAGCUGGUGUCUGGCAAGAGCCCUCAGGAAACAGUAACCCCAUUAAUUCAAAUGCACGUGCCUGGAACAGGCUCUGGGGGGCCAGCCCGGGAGUCCCACUCCAUGAUGGCCACCCUGGGGCCUGGCAGGCUGGGCUGGCAUCCCAGGCCCACCGGAUACUGGCUGUGCACCCCGGCCAGGCCACACAUCUCUGAGCCUCACUUUCCCGUGUGUGAGAUGAGGCUAGAAGCUGCUUUCUCUUGCGUGUGUGGGGAUUGGCGGUGACAACACGGCCAGGAGCCCAGGCCCAGCCUACGCGAGCAGCCUCGCUCCAGGCCACACGCCCCACUCCUGACAGCUCUGUGCAGCGAGUUCGUGCGCGAGCGGGUGGCUGUCUGCCAGGCGAGGGGCGCGGGUGCCCAAGAGGGCUUCACUGCUUCUGGAAAGAUCACAAGGAAAAACCACCUCCGCGGCGGGACGCUACCCGCGGGCCGCUGCGGUCCCGCUCGCGGCCGGCAGGGGGCAGGAUGUCCCCGCGAGUCGCCCGUGUCUUCGGGUGUCCUCAGGUCACCCCGCACCGCUCGCAGCCUCCGCGCCUAGUUAAAGGGCGACGCACUCAUUUCUGCAAAGAAGGAGCCCAGCGGCCCCUCCCCGGGGAACUCUUUCCAUCAACUCGGGGCCUAAUAAUUUACAUUUAAUUUGUUAGCGGUUUAAUGUUUAAUUUUAAAAGCGAGAUGAUUCAUUACCAUAUUAAUAAAUAAUAACAUUUAUUAUUCUCCUAAUGAGUGUCCAAAAUACAGAAGCAAUUACAUGUUUUAUAUAUUUUCUCGUAAUUUGAGACACCAGAGCGUUAAUUACAGAGACUCACGCGUGGACCCCAUUCUGAUCCAGGGUCCUGAUCCUGCCUUUGUUUCGGUCUCUGAACCAGCCGCCCUCCGGGGCUUCUGCAAUUCCCUCAAUUAGAGGAGAGGAAGUCGUACGUGACGAAGCUGGGGCUCUCACAGAACCCCGGCGCCCCAGACCCAGGAGCUGCAAGACCUCAGCUCCCCGUGCCCACACUCGGAGACCCAGGCCCCUCCCAGUCCCCCGUCUCCUCUGUGCAGGGUUCUUCAGGAAGAAUCGGAAAGAGGCCCCCCGACCCACAACCAGCCUCGCAUUCCCUCCUCCCGCAGGGAUCCAUUGAGCUGGGGGGUGGGACUAUCCUCACUUCACAGAUGGGGAAACUGAGUCCUGGAGAGAGACGCUCCGGUGUCCUCAGCUGGUGAGGGGCAGAUCCGGGAGCCACGUCCCACGCAGUCGGUUGGCCCCAAGCUUGGUUCCUGCCUCAACCCCAGCGCAGGUUGCAGCAGGCCCGCGUAGGAGGGCGGCCUGGGUCUGGACAGAUCCACAGCCGGCCAACGCCCCUGGCUAGCUCUCUAUGGCUUUGCUUCUUCUCUUGACUUGCCAAGUUCUUCUUGUUCAUUGUAGAAAAUGUGGAAGGUGAGGCCGGGAGCGGUGGCUCACGCCUGUAAUCCUAGCACUUUGGGAGGCCGAGGCGGGCAGAUUGCCUGAGCUCAGGAGUUCGAGACCAGCCUGGGCAACAUGGUGAAACACGUCUCUACUAAAAAAAAAAAAAAAAAAAAAAAAAAAAUUUGCUGGGCGUGACGGCAGGCGCCUGUAGUCCCAGUGGGAGUUUGGGGAGGCUGAGGCAGGAGAAUCACUUGAACCCGGGAAGCAGAGAUUGCAGUGAGCCGAGAUCGUGCCACUGCACUCCAAUCUAGCGACAGAGCAAGACUCCGUCUCAAAAAAAAAAAAAAAAAAAAAAGUGGAAGGUGAAAAAAACACGGAGAGACAGCAAAGCUGGCAAUGACAUAGCUCCAAAAAUCCCACUUCUCAGAUAAGAUGCAGGCAGUAAGGGCCUGGAGUUUUAUGUAUCCUGAUGUUUGAAAGGGCUUGGACAGGGCACUUCCUCCCUCCAUAGCUCUUCUGUCCUUAGGAAUCCCUCCCUUCUGGAGGGGAAGGGUGGGGGUUUUCCUGUUUGGUCCCCAGGGAAGGAAGUUCAGAGACAGAGGCCCACUCAGGGCCACCCCCUGGCCUGCACCCCUGAAAUGCAAUUUGGAUAAUAUGGAAAAUUACUAGGAAGAAAAAACGCUAUAAUCCCCCCACCUAGAGAUAACCAGGCGUUCUGGUAUAUACCUAUUGAGGACUUUUUUCCCAAGCAAAUACUCAGAAAGAGACUUCCUCCCAAUAGGCAUGAGAUCUUACUCCACGUGCAGUUUGUCUUAUCUUGAUUUUUUUCCAGUAAUCUUUUAAGAGUUUCCCAUGCCAUGUAGUCAUUCUUCAAAAACCCACUUUGAACAGCUGCGUAAUAUUCCGCUGUGGAGGAGUGCCCUGCAGUGUAGAGAAAUGAGUUAUUUACGCUGAAGUCUGUUAUUACAUGGACAUCUUCCCUUUUCUGACCCUGCAAUGACCACACUCAUAGGUGAGUCUCUCUGGAAAUCCUUGACUACCUCCUUAGGGUCCAUUCUUAGAAGUGGAAUUACUGGGUUAGAGGGCAUGAGUGCCUUGAGGGCGGCUGUCUCCCUCUACCUGCAUGCCUGCCAGGGCAAACCCGUGCAUGCUCCCAGGACAGGCCUGGCAGGGCGUGUCUCCCUGCUGCACCCUUGGUACCCUUGGCAGGGCUAACAUUAUCCUCUAAACCAGGUCUUUGCAGCACUUACCCUUUUCAAGGUGCUACUGUACCUCUCCUUUAAGGAG
rnacentral:lncRNA from 10 species